UACGAAGGGGGCUAGCGUUGUUCGGAAUUACUGGGCGUAAAGCGCGCGCAGGCGGUCUUCCAAGUCAGUGGUGAAAGCCCGGAGCUCAACUCCGGAAUUGCCAUUGAAACUGUUAGACUUGAGGAUGAGAGAGGUGAGUGGAAUUCCCAGUGUAGAGGUGAAAUUCGUAGAUAUUGGGAAGAACACCGGUGGCGAAGGCGGCUCACUGGCUCAUUACUGACGCUCAGGCGCGAUAGCGUGGGGAGCAAACAGG
rnacentral:rRNA from 1 species